rnacentral:rRNA from 1 species
CCUACGGGUGGCAGCAGUGGGGGAUAUUGCACAAUGGGGGAAACCCUGAUGCAGCGACGCCGCGUGUGGGAAGACGGUCCUCUGGAUUGUAAACCACUGUCCCCAGGGACGAAGAUGACGGUACCUUAGGCUGAAGCUCCGGCUAACUACGUGACAGCAGCCGCGGUAAUACGUAGGGAGCAAGCGUUGUCCGGAAGUACUGGGUGUAAGGGGAGCGUAGGCGGGAUGCCAAGUUGGGUGUUAAAUCUACCGGCUCAACUGGUAGUCGCACUCAAAACUGAUAUUCUUGAGUGAAGUAGAGGCAGGCGGAAUUCCUGGUGUAGCGGUGAAAUGCGUAGAUAUUAGGAGGAACACCAGUGGCGAAGGCGGCCUGCUGGGCUUUUACUGACGCUGAGGUUCGAAAGCGUGGGGAGCAAACAGGAUUAGAUACCCCGGUAGUC